rnacentral:rRNA from 1 species
GACGAACGCUGGCGGCGUGCCUAAUACAUGCAAGUAGAACGCUGAAGCUUGGUGCUUGCACCGAGCGGAUGAGUUGCGAACGGGUGAGUAACGCGUAGGUAACCUGCCUGGUAGCGGGGGAUAACUAUUGGAAACGAUAGCUAAUACCGCAUAAGAGUAGAUGUUGCAUGACAUUUGCUUAAAAGGUGCAAUUGCAUCACUACCAGAUGGACCUGCGUUGUAUUAGCUAGUUGGUGAGGUAACGGCUCACCAAGGCAACGAUACAUAGCCGACCUGAGAGGGUGAUCGGCCACACUGGGACUGAGGCACGGCCCAGACUCCUACGGGAGGCAGCAGUAGGGAAUCUUCGGCAAUGGACGGAAGUCUGACCGAGCAACGCCGCGUGAGUGAAGAAGGUUUUCGGAUCGUAAAGCUCUGUUGUAAGAGAAGAACGAGUGUGAGAGUGGAAAGUUCACACUGUGACGGUAGCUUACCAGAAAGGGACGGCUAACUACGUG